rnacentral:rRNA from 1 species
AGAGUUUGAUCAUGGCUCAGAUUGAACGCUGGCGGCAUGCCUUACACAUGCAAGUCGAACGGCAGCACGGACUUCGGUCUGGUGGCGAGUGGCGAACGGGUGAGUAAUACAUCGGAACGUGUCCUGUAGUGGGGGAUAGCCCGGCGAAAGCCGGAUUAAUACCGCAUACGCUCUACGGAGGAAAGGGGGGGAUCUUAGGACCUCUCGCUACAGGGGCGGCCGAUGGCAGAUUAGCUAGUUGGUGGGGUAAAGGCCUACCAAGGCGACGAUCUGUAGCUGGUCUGAGAGGACGACCAGCCACACUGGGACUGAGACACGGCCCAGACUCCUACGGGAGGCAGCAGUGGGGAAUUUUGGACAAUGGGGGAAACCCUGAUCCAGCAAUGCCGCGUGUGUGAAGAAGGCCUUCGGGUUGUAAAGCACUUUUGUCCGGAAAGAAAACCUCCGCCCUAAUAUGGUGGGGGGAUGACGGUACCGGAAGAAUAAGCACCGGCUAACUACGUGCCAGCAGCCGCGGUAAUACGUAGGGUGCAAGCGUUAAUCGGAAUUACUGGGCGUAAAGCGUGCGCAGGCGGUUCGCUAAGACAGAUGUGAAAUCCCCGGGCUUAACCUGGGAACUGCAUUUGUGACUGGCGGGCUAGAGUAUGGCAGAGGGGGGUAGAAUUCCACGUAGCAGUGAAAUGCGUAGAGAUGUGGAGGAAUACCGAUGGCGAAGGCAGCCCCCUGGGCCAAUACUGACGCUCAUGCACGAAAGCGUGGGGAGCAAACAGGAUUAGAUACCCUCGUAGUCC